AACAUGCUCCCUUAGAUCCAUCUUUGUUUGAUUUCUCUUUUGUUGAGUUCUGCUUAUGCCUUUGGGUUUGAGCAGUUCCAGCUAAGAGGAAUCAGCAACUUUAUGGUUGCACCAUCAAAGAUGCUUGAGUCAUUGGCAUGUGAGAAUAAUAUACCUUCAUUCUAGUCUUGUGUUCUGAUAGAAAUGGCAUAAUAAUACGUGUCAUUUUCUACUAUCAGGAUUUGACUGGAGUGUGGACAUG
rnacentral:snoRNA from 1 species